UACGGAGGGUGCAAGCGUUAUCCGGAUUUACUGGGUUUAAAGGGUGCGUAGGCGGCCCUGUAAGUCAGUGGUGAAAUACUGCAGCUUAACUGUAGCAUUGCCAUUGAUACUGUAGGGCUUGAGUACAGAUGAGGUAGGCGGAAUUGAUGGUGUAGCGGUGAAAUGCAUAGAUACCAUCAAGAACACCGAUUGCGAAGGCAGCUUACUAAGCUGUAACUGACGCUGAGGCACGAAAGCGUGGGGAUCGAACAGG
rnacentral:rRNA from 1 species